rnacentral:SRP_RNA from 2 species
UCGUGCUAGAUGGGGAAUUAGCGGUGCCCUGUAACUUGCAAUCCGCUACAGCAAGAUUGAUGCUUGUUUGCGGCAAAUGCUGAUCUUUACAUUUAAAAAAAGUAAUGUUGAAGUUUCAAUUCUUUGCAAUGGUUUUACACUAAAACCCGUCAGAACCGGAAGGGAGCAGCGGUAGGUGCUUAGAAUUAUGUGCCGAAGAACCCCUGAAAUGGAGUUAACUGUUUUAUUCUGCAUUGAUAACAGAUUUUUCAAUCUCAAGUGCACGA